rnacentral:lncRNA from 1 species
UAGAACUAGACUCUUCAUUUUUGUAACCUUUGCCAAUUUUUAUGAGUUUUAUGAUUCUUAAAUGUGACUUUUCAUAUAACUUGAGGACAAGUUACAAAAACACAUUUUAGAAUCAAUUCUUAGAUUAAUUUGGAUUAAAACCAACUAUCACAUAAUUUUAUUCAUUAAUCUAAAUUCACUCAUAAAACAAGGUAACACAAAAAACUUUUGGUGAUCCAUAACUUAUUCUUAAGUUAUGGAAUCCUUUAAAACAUUAACACCAAAUUUUGUAACUCCAAAAAAACUUUGAAUCAAUUUUUUUUUUAAAACCUUUUCAUAUCCAUAACUUAUGGAGGUUUCAAAAAAUAAAACUCUUUAGAUCAAACUUUUAAAACUAAUAAAAUAAUCAUAUUAUUUUAUCUUUUAUUAAAUUUGACCUAAUUCAACUCAUAAAGCAAAUUAUUCAAAUUUUACAAAUAAUUAGUUUUUCACAAGAACAAGUAAUUAUCUUAAAAUUUGACAAACUUCAUGUUUUUUUUUUUUUUUUUUUUCAACUUUGAAAAUAAAAUAUUUGCAUCAAUAUAACAGAAAACAACCCGUGGCUCUGAUACCACUGUUGGGUUUUGAGCAUUCUAACACUUCCUAAGUGUACAUGCAACCCUAAAUACCUUGGAUCUAUGUUUUCUCUAUUAUACAUGCAAAUAAGAACAUCCAAGGUAUUAUCCUAAUCUAGCAUACAAAAGUGAAGAGUGUAACAAGAUAGAAUACAUACCUCUUUGAUGUAGAAAGUCUUCAUGAAGCUUGAGUGCCUAGCCCCAAUAGUGUGGAAGCCUCAAAUGGAAUCACAAUCACCAAAACACUUAGAAUAACUUGAGAGAAUUCUACACUUCAUGAAAUCGGCUAGCCCUUUUACUUCACACCCUAGUUCCCGAUUUGGUCAUGAAUAAGAUGCUUAUAUAGUUAGGGUUACACCAUGUAAACCCUAAUUGACAUGGCCUUUAAUUUCCAUGAUCCAUGGGUACAAAUACACCAUGGAGCAUCCAUGGACCAUCCUAUGGGUUUUAGCCCAACUUGAUUAUCCAUGGAGCAUUAGCCCACUAUACAAGUAUGGAUGAUUUACACAAUCAACCCAUAUAUUUAAUUAGUCUUCUUUUGAUCACUUAAUUAAUCCUAGAUUAAUUCUUGAUCAAUACUAAUUAAAUAAUCUUAUUAUUCUUAUUAUUAAUAUACUAGAACUUAUAAUAUAUUAAUAACCAUAAGUGUCUUAUUUCUCUCAUUAUAGUCUAUCCAAGUGCAUGAUGGUAUGCAACCCAAAUGGACCAUGUCGGGUCGGGUCAAGUCUUACCAAUUAUAGUUAUGGACUUAGACAAUAAUCCAACAAUGGCUUCACCCGCAAACUUACAACACUUUAACACUAUCUGGCUGCUAGUGAAUGCUAUGGGUACACCCGCAGACUUACAACACUCUAACACUAUCUGGCUGCUAGUGAAUGCUACGGGUACACCCACAGACUUUUAACACUCUGACACUAUCUGGCUGCUAGUGAAAGCUACGGCUACACCCGCAGACUUACAACACUCCAUAUUGGAUCGACCACGCGCUUGACCUGCAUUCAGCUGAAUUCAUGCCCUGACUGGAAUCCCCAACCUGAUUCCCUAAGGCUUGAUAGCAAACAUUACGAGAACACGAUCUCCUUAUUGGGAAGUUUUUCUGAACUUCCAUCUCACACUCUCUUCAAAUCAUACAACCGCUUGGGCUUUCUUCCUUCCUGAAAAUGAUGCAAAACUUAUCCUAUCUUCAUAACUGCUCUUGCUUCAGAAUCCUGGGUGAUUCUCCCCCACUUUGAUUCAGCUAAUGCUCUACAACACUCAAAACUGAAAAAAUUCUCAAUUCUUCCUACCCUCCCAUGACCAAUCUACUAGAACUCACGCUUAUCCUUGCUAGGGUUUCGACACCAGCUAACCCAAAAGAUCAUACAACUUCUAAAAAAAUCCGAAUAAAUCUUUGGUAAUAACCCGCUAACCCAGGAAGCUCUGAAUCUCAAUUGGAGGCCUCGGAAUCUCCCACUGCAUCACGACCUCUAUCUUGGCCAGAACGACUAGAAUACCCUUCUGAUUGACAAGGUGCACAAGAAAUUGCACCUUGCGCAACCAGAGCUCACAUUUGGAGUACCUUGCAAAAGGACACUCCCUCCUCAAAGUCUCUAGCUCCUCCCUCAGGUGCUUCUCAUGAUGCUCCUCAGUCUUGGAAUAAACCAAGAUGACAUUGUACUCUCCCAAUCUUGCAAUUUUGGAAAUGCUCUAUCACUACUCGCUAAUGUUUCUCAGUAUGCAAUUGGCAUAUGACAUCUCUUGAAAAAAUAAUUUAUGCCCAAACUGAGGAUAACUCAGGGCUACACUUACUCAAACCCUUGAAACGAAAGACUCCAUUGUGUAGUUUCCCGCAUGUGCUGUACUGAAUCUAACCCUGCUGGUCCUUCAUAAGCUUAUCCAAAAUCUAGGGUCUUCUCCUGAGACACCUGUAUAUAAGCAAAUGAUCUAAUUCCCUCUAACCAAUGUGCUCCAAGUCCAUAUCUCGUUCUCAAGAUUUAGAAGUCAUAUCAUUCAGGGUCUUGCACCCCGAGAUACUCACGAUCUCCCUGCUAUCAUUCUAUAGUAUGUUCUGAUAAAUUACCUUCUUCAUUUCUUCAUCUGCUGCAUACUGUGGUACCAUAUAACUCUGAAAUCCCGAAACAUCAGCGUACGAGUUCCUAUCAUGACUGUAACCUCAGUGCAGAAUGCACUCGGCCUCUCAUCACAAAUCUCUAUAAUGCCCUCCUUGAUCAUACUAAGGAUCACAAGAGUCUGGUCAAUGAUAUUGCACAUAAUCUCAGAUGGAAUGAACUCCCUCAUUUGAUCAUCGAGCUACCCGACUACAGAGUCUGAGCCUAAUCCCUCGUCAACACCAGAACUACCAUCUGGUCUACCAUGUAGCGUCACUAUACUCGAUAAUAUACCAUUACUAACAUCACAAUACUCAUCAGAACUCGAGGGAUCUCACACACUACAAGUUCCCUAGUCUUAUCUUAGCCUUCCUUGAUUCGAGUACAGAUCCUCUACUUUUAGUAGUACGGGCCCAUACUACCUUCCACAUCUUUUUGUACUUUCCUCAAGUACUGCCUCGACUCCACCAAGUCCCUUCUACUACUAUUGUUGAUCUCUUGCUAAUCUCAUCCUAGGCUUUCCCUAGGGUAAUCACCAACCCACUCUUCGACGUCAGCUGGAUAAGAAGUCCCUGCCUUAUUCCCCUAACUAGCUUGCGAAUACUAUUACAUAUUACUCAGACUAGAUAAUUCUUCGAAUGAGAGAUCCUACCCUACAACGGUUGGACUCAAACAAGAGCUACAAAAUAGAGCUAGACCUAACCUUCUAAAAUUAUUUAGUCUUUGCAAUAUGUAACUUAAAUAUAUUCGUUUACUAGUUAGUGAAAGACAACUAGAACUCCUAAAAGCACAAAGCAAGCAACAUUCGGGUGUUGAGUACACAUAAUCAAGCAUAUACUACUCUGGCUACAUACUCACUAAUAUGUACUAGCAUGCAAUUCUCAAUAAGCUGGUACACAUAUAACAGGCACAUAAGGCAUCCUUCCUAGAUCCUUAGCCCUAAACUGACAUGCAGUUCUCCUAAAGUUGAUACUCAUAUUAUAAUAUGAUCUUGUAUGGGUAAUUUGGUAGUACUUACUUAAGCUCAGCUGAUUGCAUGCAACACACCUUUUUCCUUUUUCAAAGUUCUUUUCUUUCUAAAAUUUUUUUUCGUUUUUCUAAAACUCUUUUCUUUUGAAAACUUUAUACCACAUCCUUAGUUUGAGUUCAGACACACCCAAAAGUCUGGCCGAAUCCCUCAAACCAAGGCUCUGAUACCAACUUGUAAAAUCCCAAAAACACAGUCUGAAAAUUUCGUUUAAUUUAAUAAUAAAAACCGUAGUCAAUAAACCUCUUUAAAAAAUCAUAAGAAAUGUAUCUCAAAAUAUUAUAAAAACUGUCAAGUAUAUUAGAGUCUAAACAUCCCAGGCUGAACAAAUGGUGUGUGGACUGUAAUUUCCCCGAGCUCCUCUUUUGAAAACUGAGUACCUAAAACCAAAACUAAAAUUGUAAGCACGAAGCUUAGUGAGCUCCCCCAAACUGCCACAUACCAUAAAAUAACAUAUAAACACAUAUUGGGCCUUGCCCACUGCAUCGUACCGAAGUCAGGAAACUGCAUCAGAACGAAGUCCAGAACUGACUGGGACCCCAUCCCCUGCAUUGGACCGAAGUCCGGAACUAACUGCAUCAGACCGAAGUCUGGAACUGACUGGGACUCUGUCCCCUGCAUCGGACUGAAGUGCGAAACUAACUGCAUCCAAGUGAAGGCCGGAACUACAUCAGACCAAAGUUCGAAACUGACUGGGACCCUGUCCCCUACAUCGGACCGAAAUUCGGUAAGUGACUGAACAUAGCUUAACAUAAACAUAUCAACUGGCAUGACUACAUAUACUGCACACUGCAUCGGACCAGAGUCUGGAACACAUAACACAAAACAUGCUUGAAUCACAAAGACAUCAAGCACUCUAACUACUGCAUCAGACCGAAGUCCGAAACAAGUAACAUAUAACAUGGAAGCUAAAUCACUGCAUCGGGCCCCGCUCGGUAUCGGACCGAAGUCCGGUACUACUAACACCUAAACGGGCCGGCAUUGUGGCCUUAGACCCAUUCUACUAGAAGAGGACUCACCUCACACUACUGAAGUCCUACUGACAAACCAUAACUGCUGGAUGACAGAUUCCCGAUCUGUCAAUAUCAAAAUAACACCCAAUUAAUAAUUCGGUUCCACUACAUAACUAUAAAUACAUACUUUGGAUAAUUACUACAUUACCCCUAUCUUGGCUUACCCAAGCCCAAAGCCCAAUCCAUAGGCCUAAAGUCAACUAGGGAUCAGAGACCAACACAUGGCCCAACUUUCCAAAUUGGGCCCAAAUCUCCACAUGGACUUCCCUUAAGUCCCAAUUGUUUAGUCCAAUCCAACAUGUCUCAUUCUAAGGCCCAAUAUCAUACAAUCAUCUAGGCCCAAACUAUGGCCCAAUUUUCCAAAUUGGGCCCAACCCUUCAUAUGGGCCUUACCCUAAAGCCCAACUAAUUACUCUAGUCCAUUUGAUUAUUCUUGGAUGUCCCAACACAAAGCCCAAGUGAAUAUUAAGGUUUUCUCACUUAGCCCAUUAAGGUCUUAAUCCAUUAAGUCCUUUACUCUACUAGAUAGUUAAUAUGGAGAAAUUGCGCUUAAUACAUAAUUCAAUCUCAAUGGCACAAAAGUAGGUCCAAUAAGUCCAAGGCCUAAAUACUCACAGUUAGGGUUUUGAUCUAAACAUGGCCCAAUAGGCCCAAAAUUAAUCUUUAAACCCAUUAGGGUAUUGGCUAGGUCCAUUAGGGUUUUGCUUGUGGGGAACCACCCACUACCACCUCGGGUAGUGGUGCUCAAUCGGCGGUACACGGCGGCGGCUACCACCUUAUGGUGGUAGUUACUAUUAUUAUUUUCAUUAUUUCAUGCUAAUUACAAUUACAAGCCUUUCAUCCAAAAUACACACUAACUAAUACACACACAUAGCCACACCAUGGUGGCCAGCAAAAUAGGGCAGAGACGGCAACCCAGCGGCAUUAAUAGCAAUAGCCACCAUGGCCAGCCGCCAUGGUGGUUCUUCCCAGUUGUCGGCGAACAACCCAGCACACAAUAGAUCUGGAAACGACCUCCCGCCAGGUAGCGCACGACGACCGGCAACAGCACAACCUUGGUAGUCGGCGACAGAUACUACAUCAGUGGGAGAAGGUGGCAGUUGGACAGAUGGCAGCGGCUGGAGAAGGCAUCGGAACCGCAACAGUGAAACACCGGGACAACAUCCAUUGCACAUCGUCGCUGGCAACAGAACGGUAGCAACAUCGGCGCCAACUGCCGGAGAUAGCGGCGGCAGGCGCUAUCGACUUAUUACACUUCAUCACCGCCGGCACAAGUACUCCAUGUUGGUUCUCAUUGCUGCCUGUGACAAGGGCUGAUCGAUGGUGCAAGGUGGUCGGAAGAGGAAUGGGUGGAUGGUGGCGAUGGCGCCGGAGGCAAGGAAGAGGUGGGGUGACGAUUGCCUCUCUUCUUAGGGUUAAGGAUUGGCACCCGGUGAUGUUGGGUUAUAUACUUGACUCACGAAACUUUGCCCCAUAAUGACAAAUUAAGCCCUUCCUUUCCCUCAUUUCUAUCAAAGUAAUCCAUAUUUUACACUUUUAACCCUACCUUUAGAAAUCUAUACAACUGAAUCCAAAACUUACCUUUUAAGCCUUGAUCCCAUAAAUUUCUUUCAUAAUAGACCCCUAAAUUACCAGUAAACCCUUCAAUCUUCAAAUCUUUUCUAUUUAGGUCCAUAAAUUACCAAACGCACCCUAACCUCCAAAAUCCUUUUCAAUUUAGUCCCGAACUUACACUUUUAACCCUUGACUUUCAAAAUUCUUCACAAAUUAGUCCGGGACAUAGAUUUAUCAAUUUAUUUAAAUAAACGAGCGUUAUAGCAACCCUCUCAGAAAGGCCUUUGAACAACAGAGUGAAGAGGCCAUUCCAUUAAGGAGGAAGUCAAGACUUCUUGACUUUAGUCACUGUCGUGAGGAGUUCUGUAUACCCCAUAUUGUAGAACAUUGAAAAGAGCUGAGCAGUGGUGAUGGAGUCAGGGAUGACCAUGGAGGCUUCGUAAGAAAGCUUUAGAAGUGAGCAAAAAUAAUACUCGGAAAUCGACGUCUUUUGAUCUAGAAUGUCAAAGAAAACCCUCUCUUUUGUCUUGUCGUAUGUUGCAGUAGAGUACACCCGAGAGAGAAAAGACAUUGGAUCUGAUUCAACCUGCGUCAAUGAUAUAAAAAGUGGAGAGUACUUGAGACAUUCCACCAUAUUAAGCAUAUAUAGAUCAUAUACAAAUGAUGUGAUAUCGAUCAGAAGGUUCUGAUUCGCCUUGAUAGAGAUAAGAGUCGAUCGAGCAGAAGUCUCGUGCACUGAAGAAGAUUCUGCCAUUGUUGAAGCUCAAUGAAGAAAGAUGAUGAACAGUGGAGGAAAAAUUGUCAGUAUUUGUCUUUGAGAAGUAUGAGAGCGGUAAAAGGGUAAAGGUAAUUUGAGAAAACCCUUUAUACUGUUAACUAGAAGACAAAAACAAAUCGCAAUAAUAUCACAGGAGAAAACAUCUCAAUCGACGCCUAGGAAAUUGUGAUUGGACAACUGUUACAGCGAAAAAGGCGAUGACAGGCGUGACAUCAGCUAUCGUUUCAAAUUCACGUGCCUUUCUAUGUUUAUCUCAAAAUUGGUUUCCGAUUCUAGACCCUUGAAAUUCAUGCUGACUCAUCCUUUUGCUUUUAAAAGAGUCCAUUCUAUCAUAAUGAACCGUAGCUACAUUUCUGAAAAUAGAACCGCACUUUGGAAAAUCAAAGAUCUCUGUGCAAGAUAGUGUCAAAUAUAAAGAAAUAAAGGAAAUAAUUUGUGAGAUAUAUGUGAUGUCUAGGAAGACAUAAAAAGUGGAUCCUGGGCACGAAUCUCUACCUUCAAAGUUAAGAGAGACUUCAAAGUGCUUAUUUGGUUUCCCGUUGAAUUACGAUCAAAUGCCUGUAAAGGGAUAUUGAAAGGCAUAUUUUCAUAUAAAGCUAUUAGGGUGGCUUUCGCUUCAAUCCAUACAUGGGUACUUGACAUAAGACCGAAAAUGGAAGAAGUACUUGUGAGACCGGUGUAGCCUGUUAAAAAAGUAGGUUUGGGUCUUUUUCAGUGACUUGGUGAUAUAAAUAGGAAAUCUCAAAAACAAAACUAGAACUAGAUCUUAUGUCAAGAAACAUCUUGGUGUUAGACAAUUUCAUAAAGAUCACACAAAAAUAAAAGGAGAUUUCUUGAGAUAACAAGUAAUAGCUUGAACGUGUAUGUGAUCACCGUUAAUUCAUUUAAGGUGUUGGAUUUUAGGUUUCACUUAGCACUUGGUGAACAUAUCUAAGAUCAUCAACACAGAUGUUGUGUAACCAUAAACCUCAGUGGAAAUUGCUGAGAGUCUCAAGGGUUACAAUUGUGGAGCGAAACGAGAUGGACAAAUAAGAUAAGGUGGUUAAGGAGUCGUAAGUGCCUAUGCUAUUUGAGAAUGACAAAAUAGAAAACUGUUAACUCAAAAUGACAAGAGUAAGGUAGCUCAUGACUUGAGUGAAAUUAGCAGCCUAAUUGGGAAGAAAUGAUUGGUUUCGAUCGAAUCAUUAAGGCUUCACUCACAGUCUUGGAGGCUUCGGUCUACAUACAACAACAUGCUUCUAGGGACACUUAACUAGUACAAAGAUAGAAAUAUCAUACCUGCCCUGGAUCCAAUUGGUAUAGCUUAUGUGUUCUUCAAACCUUAGGUAGAAAAGAAACAAGAACAAAACAAAACACAAAAAGAAAAUAUUUUUGAUGUUUUGAAAAAUAAUAAAAAUAGAAAAUAUUUUUGAAUUUUAUUAAAAGUAAGAGAAAAACAUAAAAUAAAUUAAGAUACAAUAAAGUGUACAAAAGAUACAACUGAAAUGUCACCAUUGUAUAUGAGGCGAAAUGGACCGAGCAUUCAGUUCAUUUUGGUUCCCGAAAAAUCAGGACCCGAAAUAGACCGAGCGUUCGCUCUAUUUCACUUCCAACUUUUAAUGACGUGAAAGCGAUUUCAGUAUGGAUUCAGCUUCCAUCAUUCCUAAGCCUUGUAAGAUUAUAUUAAAACUUGCUUCAUGCAAGGCUUUUGUAAAGAUCUCAGCUAAUUGAUCAGUGGUUCUUACAAAAUGUAUUUCGACAUUACCGUGUUCCGCGUGAUCCUUAAUAAAAUGAUACCUCCGUGGUAUAUGUUUCAUUUUGGAGUGUUGCAUUGGGUUGUGACAUAUCCUUAUUACACUUUCUAAGUCACAAUAUAAUGGAAUUUUCUUCAUGUUCAGGCCAUAGUCUCGAAGUUGGCUUUGUAUCCAAAUGACCUGUGAUGUACAUGAUGUUGUAGCUAUAUACUCUGCUUCAGCUGUAGAAAGAGACACAUAGGUUUGUUUCUUCAAUUACCAGCUGACAAGUUUGCCAUCAAGGAACUGGCAUUCUCCAGUAGGGCUCUUUCGGUCCAAUCCACAUCCUCCUAGAUCAGCAUUAGAGAAUGCCUUGACAAAGAAUUUUGAGUUUGAUGGGUACCAUAGACUGAGAGAAGAGGUUCGCUUCAAAUAUCGAAAGAUAUUCUUCACACCCAAUAGGUGAGGUUCACAUUGAUUAGCUUGAAACCUGGCACAAUAACAAACAGAAAACAUUAUGUAUGGUCAACUUGUUGUUAGAUACAUCAAGGACCCUAUCAUUUGAUGAUAGAGGGUCAUGUCAGCAACCGGUUUUUCUAGAGAAGGUGUUAACUUUGUGCCAAACGCCAUAGGAACCUUCACUUUUGAGUAUCCCAUCAUUCCAAACUUGAAUCUCCCUUCUUUGUCCAUUUUGUUUCGAAAUACCCAUUUCAGUCCAACUACAGAUGCAUCCUUUGGUGUAGAAAUUAGUCUCCAUACCUUGUUUCGCUCAAACUCAUUGAGUUUGUCUUGCAUUGCUUGUAUCCAAUCAUAGUAAUCGAGUGUAGUGUUGACAGUCUUCAGUUCAAUUUUGGAGACAAACGAAUUAAACAUGCCAAAUUCCACUUGAGAGAAUAAUGUAGUUUGCUUCGCUUUCAGUUGAGAAUGAGUAAGAACUCUUUCUGAUGAAUCACCAAUGAUUUGUGUUUUUGGAUGAUCUUUUGUCCAUUUGGUGAGAGGAGGGUAAUUUGAAUCAUAGGAGGGAUACAACUCAACAUUUACUUCUUCUUCCAAUUCCGACUGAGUAUCAUCAUCAUUUGUAUUUGCAUUCUCCCCCUUAAAUGAUGAGACAGUUUCGGCUGCAGGCAUGGAAUUCUCCCCCUCAAUUGGACGUUCGGUUGAUAUGGUAGUUGAUGGUUUCUCCCCCUGGAAUGGUAAUUUAGGGUUAUCGGAUGAAGAUGAACCCUCCCCCUGAAAUGUAGAACUUUUUUUUGGAGGUUCGCUUUGACUGGCCUAUUUGGUAGUUCUCGGUUGUUCUUUUUCCAUAUCAUUCGCUCCGUCAUCAAUGAUUUGCUUCACAGUAUCAAUCUCUUUGUCAGCUACCUUUGCUUUAGAGUGAAUAGCUUUCUCUGGUUCAUCAAAUAAUGACAUGUAUUGCUCAAAUAGAUUUUAAAUGGAAAUAGUGACUUCACCAAAUGUUGGAAAGAUUUCCUCCAUUGAACGUUCGGUUGUUUGAAGCUUUUUGGCGUAGUUGUCAUCAAAGGUGACAUAAUAGGUUUAUUCAAUUUUCUUGGAAUGUUUGUUUAGAAUCCUAUAUGCCUUCGAGUUUAAUGAGUAGCUAAGAAAAUGUUGGAUUAGUGUCUAAGUCCAUAACUAUUUUGGUAUGUACUUGACCCGAUUAUGAGCAUGGUCCUUUUGGGUUGCCUUCAUCAUAGCAAUAUGUAGGAUGAAUUAAGGAGAGAAAGGUUUAAUUAUCAUUUAUUAAUAUAUUAUGAGAAUAAUAUAUUAAAGGAGAAAUCAUAUUUUUUAAUUAAUAUUAGUCAAGAAUUAAUUGAUAAAUAAUUUUGUGGCUAAUAGAGAUUAAUUAAACUUAGGGGACUGCAGUUGUAAUUAUAAGAUAAUUAUAAUUGGGCUAUGGAUCACUUAAUAAAAUAUAGGUUGGACGAAUUCUAUGGAAAGCCCAUUAGAAAUCGUCCAAGGGAUAUGUUGAAGGAGUCCAUGGGCUGCUUAGGGCUUAAGCAGUCAGAUUAGGGUUUCCUAGUUGUAAACCCUAAUAGCCUACAUGUAUAUAAAGGACCCUUAAGCCCCAAAAACGUGGAGAACACUUCCUUUAGGGUUUCUAGACGUUUUGGGCAGCCUCCUCUCUUCUCCUCUUCAUCCAGGUUGCUUAGUGGUGUUUGUGACUCCAUUAGAGGUGCAGCACUUGAGGCACUAAGCUUUCUAAGGCCAAUCCAAGCAAGGAAUUGAUUGUUAUUGUUAUAUAACAAUCAAAGGUAAUUCUCUAAACCCUAAUUCAGUUUAUUAUAUGUUAGAUUAGGGUUUAUUAGUCUUGGAUUCAUUGCAUGUACAAAAGAGAAACCUAGAUCCAAGCAUUAGGGUUUGUAUGAGCACAUAGGAUUGUUCUUAUGCCUAAAACCCAUCAGUGGUAUCAGAGCCUUGAUUGGUUUCUGUUGUAUGUGUUGCAAUUGUCGAAUUCUUGCUGAAAAAAUGAUUUUUUGGCCUCUGCCCGACCUGAUUCGGCGAGUCAGUGGAUGAACUCGGCGAGUCAGUCUGACUCGGUGAGUCCAGUCCCAGACUCGGCGAGUCCAGGGGUCAGAUAGAGGGAAUAUCGGGAUUUCUUGUUGUUUUGCUGAAGGAUUAAUACCAAAAACGUAUUUUGAUGAUAAAAUCCGAUUUUUAUUAUAUUUGGAUGAUUAUCCUUCAUAAAACAAAAGAUAAUUUCAAAUCUUUUGAAUAAUAGUUUCCUUAUUAGUAAAUAUGGAUUAUUUAAAUUAUUUGGUAAUUAUCUUAUGAAUAAAAUGAGAUUAGGUCAAAUAUAGAUAAUCACCAAAUUAAUUGUUUAUUAUGUUAUUUGUUAUAUGAUCCCUUAUGUUUUGAAAAGUUUCAAAACUUGCCCUCCAGUUUUGGAAUUUAUAUUUUGAUUAAAAAGUUUAAUUUUGAAAUAUUUAAAUUCUGAACCCUAAUGUUUUGAAAUGUUUCAAAACUUGCCCUCAAGUUUUGGAAUUUAAAAGUUGAUUAAAAGUUUAAUUUUGAAAUGUUAAAUUCUAAAACCCUAGUAAUUUGAAAAGUUCAAAUCACACCCUUAUGGUUUUAUUAAUUAAUUAAAGUGUAUAAUUAAAAGUGAUUUAAUAAACCCAUAAAGUUUUGGUUUACAUUUAAUUAAAUUAAAAGUAUAAUUUACUAAAUUAAACCACCUAGUAUUUUAAAAGUGUAAAAUACACCCUAUACUAUAUAUAACAUUAAAAGUCUAAUAUUAUAUAUAUGUAUGAGUAAACAGUCAGUCUUACCAUUAGUAGGCCUCAUUCACGAAGCUGGUCUAUAAGGGGUGUUUAAGGAAAUUGCCUAUAAAAUGGCGAUUGAAUAGGUAUCCACUCUUACCCACCGCACUCUUGACUAGUGAAGGGUCGUUAGUCGGACGGGUAGGAUAGCACAGAAACGUUCCAUUAUAAGUAUAAUGAAGUACAAAGUAACUAAAUGCUUAUACGAAUUCCCAAAUCAUAGUUACUUUAGGCAAAAUGUGAAAUUGUAUGCUAACCCAUGGAAUUACACUUCGUACCCUUGUCAAACGUUAGUGGAGCGUGUGUGGUUAACCGGAACACUAAUUUGGGGACGAAAUUGGUGGUGAAGGGUGGCUCGAUGUUUAUCAUAGAUCAAUGGAGCGUGUGUGGCUAACCGGCACAUUGAUUAGGUGAUAGUAGCAUCGGGUGCACCAUGUGAUUCGUAUGGUUAUUCACACCUUGUUUGUGAUCCUCAGCAUCUCAGUCACAAAUAGUAGGGCAUAAUCAAGAUUAAACAUGCCAUUGGAAAGUUCAAUGAAUCUCAAAAGACCUAGGAGCUUCAAUUCAUUUAAAACUUAAACUUCUUUUUCGUUUUUCAUGGUGGAAAUUGGUAAAUCGUCAUUUACCUACCUUCAAAUAUUCUACAACUAGAUUACGACAUCCCUCUUCUAGGUUGUAGAAUAUUGUGUUGGAUCCUAGCUUGAUGUUUCAUUUGGGUGUUACAUCAAGAAUUCUAAUCAACUUAACUUGAAUUUUCUCCCGUUUUGUAGAUGUCUGAAUCUUACAAUGGUCUUCCCAAAUCCUUUGGAACAAGCUUUCCAAAUGAGGAUGACGUUCUGAGAUACGAUCAAGGAAAUGAGAGUCAUGCUUUACUUCCUCCACCUCCUCCAAUUGUUCUCCCUGACCCACAAGUUCGAAGGCUUGAAAAGUUCAAGCUCACUCAAACCCUUUGGGCAAGUAAACACAAAGAUGGAAAAUCCGUGUGUGCACACAUCUUAGAGAUGAAGUCACACAUUGAUAAGUUAAGCAUGUUGGGUGUCAAGAUUUCAAGUGAGUUGGCAGUUGAACGGGUUCUUCAGUCACUUCCUAAAUCAUAUAGUGAGUUCGUUAGAGAGUACUAUAUGAUGGAUCACGACGUGACCCUCAUUGAUCUCACCUAUUUGCUUAUAGCUGCUGAAUCAACAAUGAUUUGGCGUGUUGGUCAAGCAAAUUUGUCUAGUGAAUCAAACUCCCAAACUUCAAUGGACACUGGCAACAUUGGAAGUCCAGAAAGAACUAAGUUUGUGAUUGUCCGGUGUGGUGUUCCAAAGGAGUCCGUUUGCUUUUAUUGCCAAGAGAAGGGGCAUUGGAGACGUAGCUUCCCUAACUACCUGAGGGAUCUAAUAGAUGGGAGAGUCAAGAUGUAUGGCUCUACUUCAGGUAAAAUCCAUUAGCUAACUCUUUUAAGUUCCUAUUCUAGAUUCUUAAUACAUUAUGUGAUAAGAUUACAUUUUGAUGUUUGGUUGGAUCGAAGAAAAGAGAGGAUGCUUAAGGGAAGAAGUGAGCUGAAUCUAAUUGUAAAGAAAUGGAUUUCGAUCGCAUUGCUUGAAGAUUAGACUCUUGAGCUACUACUUGGAGUUAGAAUAAAUUGUUAAGAAAGAUGUAAUAUCAUAGUUUUUCAAUUGAAUUGCUUUGUAAGGACAAAAUUUUCCACAAUAAAAAUGAAUUUUGAUUUUGUCUUAUUUAUUUAUCCUUCCAAUGGCAUGUAUGAAAAAAAUUGAUGUUUUUGAAGGUUUUUAUUAUUAGCAAUAAUGGAUUUGAUUCUUAAUUGUAUUAUUUGUGGGAAUGUCGAGAAUUUACCAAAUAGGGAGAGUUUCUCAUCGCCCAAGUUUCAAGUGGACAGAAACUUGGAAUCAUGCAACGUGUAUUGUAUGAUGAAUGAAAAACUUUCACAUUUGGGAAAUUUAGACUAAUUCUUUGACAAAGUGUCAAUUGAAGGACUAGGAGAUCGAGUACACUAGGUCGUAUGUUGAUCAAGUCUACCACAAGAAUGAAGAAGAUAUCCGUCAUGAUUUACUAAAGUUUAGUAAAUAUGGUUAUAUUUAUAAGAUUAAGUGUAAUUCUGAGUUAAUUGAAAAGGUUUCAAUAAAUAGCAGAACGAUUAAAGAAGAAUCAAGUAGGCAUAAAGAUAAAGGUUUCUCUGUUCUAAGAAAAAGGGAGAGUACUUUUAUUGUGUUAGGUCUUAAUGGUUAAGAACCAUAUCUCAAUUGAUUCUAUAAGUGAGUCUUAGUACAUUUAUAUGUCUAAGAAGACGAAUCAAGAAUUGUGGAAUUGGUUAAAUCAAGAAGUUAAUCAUAUUCGUUCCAAUAUCGAAUCUUAGAGUCAUACUCCAAGAUUUCGAAUGGAGUGAAAAGUCUUUAGUAGGUUUAUAACAUUUAACGAAUGUGGGAAUUUGGAAAAGUGUUCUUAUUCUUGCACAUUAGAAAUUGGUAAGUUGUGCUGUCUUGGAAAAGGCAAAGACCAACUAGGACCAAUUUGUGAAGUGUUUUGAUAAAAGCUACACUAACUCUUGAAUAUUUGUUUGUCAAGAAAUGUUUCUUGAUACGAGAACCUUAUAUGUCAAGGAGUCAGUGGGAGUUUUAAUGUUUUUGAAAAAGGUUUCGAAAACAAAUCAAGAAUAAACCUUAUCGAUCAUCACUGGCACACGACUUCAGGUUUACAACCUAUCGUGUUGACAUUAUUUUGUUUCGGUGCCAUUCCAAUUGAGUUAAUUAUUCAUGUGAGUUCUAUGAGUUCUCAUUUGAAUGCAUAAAGACAAAUCACAUUGAUCAAUGGAAAGUACAUUGAUAUGUAAGGAUAAGUUGCUAAACUACUUGGAAGACAUGGUGGGCACUCAUGUUACCAUAAGGCAAGAAAUCAAGAUUAAGAAAGUUCAGUCCAUAUGAGUUUGGAUUUGUCACAGACUUUGGUUUUGGCAAAUUCACAUGGAUAGGAACUCAUACACCAUAAAAUCUAAGUGUCAUAAGAUUCCCUCCUUCAUGAAAAUUAUUGUGAGGAAAUGCUUUCACUAAGAGAGAUUUUAAGAAGAUGGCGAUUGUGAAAAUUGUAUUCUCAAAUUUGAUUAUGGUUACGGCAUCCCUUUCCAUAGUUCGAGUUGUGAGAUUUGGCAAUUAGUUUGAACAUUUGGAACUUAGUAACAUAAGUUCUGAAUUGAUUAAACACACGUAUGAGCUAUCUAAGGCAAAGGUGUAUAAGUUUAAAAAGCUUAGAUAAAGGCUUAUCAAAGCAUCUGGUAUUAGAAAUACGAAUUUCAGAAAUUCAAUAGGCAUUGUUUUCUGGAAGUUCAUUUGUUUUCUGAAUACAUGUCAAAGCUAGUGGGAGCAUAAGUGUUAUGCUUAUAUGAUAGUAAUCAUCAUGAUAGUGGGAGCAUAAGUGUUAUGCUUGUAUGAUUAUUAUGGAAAGUAUUGCGAGUUAGCAAUAUUAAUUAUAGAAAAACAAAGAUUCAAUUUACAAAGUUGCAUGGGUUGAAAAUUUGUUUUGCUAUUAUCAAGGGAGAGAAUAUUAUACUUCGUUUCAAAAUCUAAAGCUUAAACUGAAAAAAAUUUAAUAUUUUUAGUCAAAGGAUACAUUGCGUGUUCUCAAAUUUCGAUUAUGAUUACGACAUCCCUCUUUAUAGUUCGAAUUGUGAGAACAUGACACAUAAAAUAUUAUGGCAUAAGAUUGGUAAAGUAUCAUAUCUUUAUGUAAGACAUUAUGCAUCGUGUCCCAUAAGCUUCGAGUAUAGGAUCGAUUGAAAAUGCUAUAAUAUUUUACCAUUCUAAAAUUUUCCAAAUGUCUAGCGCAUUAAGAGGGAAAAAGGACUAGAAUUGGUUUUGACUAAAAUAAUUAAACAACUAUCAAAGGACGAUCCAAAGUUCGCUGAAGAUUGGUCGCUUGUGAGUAGUUGGAAGUAUGGUAUUGGAUGGACCAUAUCGACGUUAUUAUAAAUAGAUAAGAUUCUAUUAAGAUUGAGUUGUCAUAUGGCAAAUGUGGAAAUGUUUCCAUAUUGGGAGUUGGAUAUUGAGAGUCUAUGUCUAGAUUAGAAAAUUUUAUGCGAGAAGGGUGUUUAAAGGAAUGUACUUUGAAUGUGAAACUUCGCGUCUAUGGAAUUGUGUUGUAACAAUUUCUAAGAGAGUACUUUGUAAUUUCAUUAGCCAAGUCUUGGUGACUUUUGUGCUAUGACUUUACGAAAGGAUCGUUGCAUAAAAUGUUAGAAUCUAGCAUAUUCUACUGGUAGCUAAGAACCUUGUGUUCUUACACUAAUGAUAAGGAUUGAGAAUUGAGAAAUGAGCAUCAUUGGAAAAGUUUUCAAUUGAUCUAUUUCACAAAGCAUAGACCAUAGGAAACAAAGUGUGCAUGCUUGGAGCAUGGAACAAUCGUUGUUGUAAUUCAAGUAAUGAGUUGAUUAUUCGAAACAUUAAAUGAUAAAUAAUGAGUAACCAAUAUAGUGGAUAAAUAGAAGUGUUUUAUUUACUCUCACAAGUUUGGGGCCAUAUAGGAUUAACUAUUAUUAUUAUGUUUCAGUUUGCAUGUUUUGACUUCCAGAAUAACUAGGUUAUUCAAACAUCCACAGUCGGUCAUACGUUGGGAGUAGGUAUGAAGGAAGACUGUCAUGAAUCUAUCUGUAGAUUGUUUGAAGUGUUUAGACAUGGCACAAGUUUACUACAGAGUUUAUGAGUGCUUUGAUAAGAUUAGAGUAUUGGAUUAAACCCACGCUCACUUGGAUCACUUUAUGGAUUUUAUCCCAAGUGAUUAGUGAGAUGAUAAUAUUGUAUAUUCUUGAAACUGAGACGUGUGAGUUGUUAUUUGCUGGUCGGUUACACAUUGAUAAUAAGUAAACGCACCAGUAACUUGGUGUUAUAAAACUUAUUGUUGUGUGUGAUUCGAUCAGUAAAUUCAAGCGAGCAUUUGAGUCGAAGUUUAUCCAUUCCUUUUACCCAAAGUAGGAUAAAAGCGGUAUAUGUGGGCCUCUCGAUGAUUUAGUGAUGAAACCUAAGCGCUUGGCCAAGCCGGGACUAAGUUGAUGUGUUAAGUUGUAGUCUGUAAACAGCCGUCAUAAAUCGGAAGUCGGGAAAUAGUAUAGAGAGAAUGAUUAAAAUUCAUGUCUUAUGUCUAUAUGAUAUCUUGAGAAUGGUGGAAUAUAUGAUCCCUUAUCUAAAGCACACACUAUCUGAUAAGAUCAGAGUUGACAUCGACUUUUGAAAGCUACAAUUGCUGAUCAGGUUCUGAAGUCACAUGGAAAAUAGUUAUUAGACUUAUCCAGAGAGAAGACUGUUGGAUUAGUGUCUAAGUCCAUAAUUAUUUUGGUAUGUACUUGACCCGAUUAUGAGCAUGGUCCUUUUGGGUUGCCUUCACCAUAACAAUAUGUAGGAUGAAUUAAGGAGAGAAAGGUUUAAUUAUGAUUUAUUAAUAUGUUAUGAGAAUAAUAUAUUAAAGGAGAAAUCAUAUUGUUUAAUUAAUAUUAGUCAAGAAUUAAUUGAUAAUUAAUUUUGUGGCUAAAAGAGAUUAAUUAGACUUAGGGGACUGGAGUUGUAAUUAUAAGAUAAUUAUAAUUCGAUAUGGAUCACUUAAUAAAAUAUAGGUUGGACGAAUUCAAUUGGAAGCCCAUUAGAAAUCGUCCAAGGGAUAUGUUGAAGGAGUCCAUGGGCUGCUUAGGGCUUAAGCAGUCAGAUUAGGGUUUCCUAGAUGUAAACCCUAAUAGCCUACAUGUAUAUAAAGGACCCUUAAGCCCCAAAAACGUAGAGAACACUUCCUUUAGGGUUUCUAGACGUUUUGGGCAGCCUCCUCUCUUCUCCUCUUCAUCCAAGUUGCUUAGUGGUGUUUGUGACUCCAUUAGAGGUGCAGCACUUGAGGCACUAAGCUUUCUAAGGCCAAUCCAAGCAAGGAAUUGUUUGCUAUUGUUAUAUAACAAUCAAAGGUAAUUCUCUAAACCCUAAAUCAGUUUAUUAUAUGUUAGAUUAGGGUUUAUUAGUCUUGGAUUCAUUGCAUGUAAAAUAGAGAAACCUAGAUCCAAGCAUUAGGGUUUGUAUGAGCACAUAGGAUUGUUCUUAUGCCUAAAACCCAUCAGAAAAACCCCUUUGUCAGCGUCGACAUCAAACUUGUUUCGGUGCACCUUAUAAUUAAAAAUAACGCAUCUGGAACCGAACACAUGGAAGAACUUGACAUUUGGAUUACGAUUGUUCAAGAUCUCAUAUUGAGUAAUAGAAAAACGCUUGUUGAGAAGAGAUAUGUUCUGUGUGUAGCAAGCAGAAGCAAUUGCAUCAGCCCGAAAAUAUAAAGGCAAUGAGGCAAAACUGAGCAUGGUGCAGGCUGCUUCACACUACGAGUGGUUUCACCUUUCAAUGACACCAUUUUGUUGUGGAGUGUAGGGAGCAGAAAAGUUGUGAGAUAUGCCGUUUUCAGCAAUUCAAAUUCAUUGUUUUUGAACUCCAGCCCAUUAUCACUUCGAAUAUUUCUCACCAGCUUUCGCAGUUGAAGCUCUAUUUGCUUGACAAAAACCUUGAGCUUUGGUGUAGCCUCUGAUUUCUGAUUAAGAAUGAACACCCAAGUGAAACAAGAAAAAUCAUCUACUAUUACUAGUAUAUAUUUGUAACCACCAAUGCUUUCAAUAGCCGAAGGUCCACAUAAAUCUAUAUGUACAACCUCAAGUGGUUCGAUGAUCUUCGUGUUGACACGUGUUGGAUGACUUUUCCUGCUUUGAUUUCCCAUUUCACAUGCAGCACACAUAUGUUAUUUAUCAAAUUUGAGUAUUUGAAGUCCUCACACAUGAUCACCAAGAACUAGCUUGUUCAUGACUUUGAAGUUGACGUGCGAGAGCCUUCGGUGCCAUAACCAACAUCCGUCUGAGUGUGCUUUCGUUAGCAGACACACAGCUGGCUUUCCUCGAAUGGGAUUGAGGUUCAGUGGGUACAUCUCACCUUUUCUUUUGGAUUUUAAUAGAACCGUUUUGGUCUUCUUCUCUACUAUUUCAGACACUUCAUCAUCGAAUGAAACCUUCAGUCCAUUUCCCACCACCAGUUGUGAAACACUGAUGAGAUUGUGUUGUAAGCCCUCUACGUAUGCUACUUUUCUGAUCGAGAAUUCACCAUUUGUGAUCAUUCCAUAGCCUUUGAUUGUGCUAAAUGACUUGUUGCCAUACUUGAGACAACCACUAUCCAUAAGAGCUCGAAACUCCCAAAACUCUUCCUUUCUCCCUAUCAUGUGACAUGAGCAGCAACUAUCAAUGCACCAUUUGUCGUCGAACUACUCGUCAUGUGUAACCUGCAAAAAUCAAGCAGAUUUAGGAACCCAAAGUUUCUUGGGUCCAUGUGAUUACCAAUUGAUGAGAUAAAAACUCUUUAGAUCGACUAGAUCUUUAACAGGUAAAUAAAUAAGACCAACAAACAAAAGAACAAUCAAUGAAUCAAUCCGUAUGUCGAAUGAUUAAAAUAUUCUCACCCCUCAAAAGAGCUCGAUUAAGAACUGAAGAGAUAAAAUCUCUAAGAUCGUUUAGAUCUUUUACAGGUUAAUCAAUGAAGAACAAACAAUUAUAAUAAACAAAAGAAUGUACACAAGAUGGAAUCAAGGUAAUACUGAAUGAUUCAAAUGUAGUCACGCCUCAACAGAGCUCUAUUAAGAACUUCCACUGUAGAGACGAUCUAGGGUUUACAAUACGAUGAUGAAAAAUAGUAAAAGUCAUAAUUACUAAGGAUACGUGCAUGCACCUUAAAUACUGAAAUCCAAGAAUAAAAGAAAACACGGUUGGACAGGCCCAAACCGGUUACAAAAUUGGGGUAACUAUGACCGAGCCCAAAGAUGCAACAUUCAGAACUCAACAAUCUCCCCUUUAGGUCAAUUGGGGUGAGACCUUUACUUCGGUUGAUUGACAGUUACUCACUUCACUACCUUUAACAAGCUUGGAAUUAUAGCAAGAACAACUUGUCGAAAGUCGAUAUACCAUCUUAUCAUAUAUGUGAAGUACUUCUUAUCGCUUUCACUAUUUUGCUUACAUCUGUGAAUGAUUCCCAGAACAUACUCAAAGCACGAAGUAGUAAAGAGAUGUUUAUCAGUUAGAGCGAACAUGCAUUUCUUACCUUCUUGCAUGGUGAACAUCACCGAGUUCAACUUCAGGUUAAUCUUUCCCAUUUUCAUCUUGUUGACAUCGCUUGCAGAACCAACAGGAAAAAUGGUAGGCUUCUUUCUGAGAACUGAAGCGAUCUCUUGAUCCAUCUUGGCUACCUCUAGAAUGUAGCAGACUAACAUUCUUUUCAGAUGAUCAAUGAUUGGCUCAUACUCGACUGGGUCAGAGAAGAAUGUUGUGUAGAACAAUCCAAUCAUGAGGAUUGAGAUUAGGUAUAUCAGCAAAGGAGAAGGUAUGCUCAGACUUGGCCGAACCUCUGGCAACCUUGAAUUUGAUGUUGAUGAAUUUCCAUGCUACGUGAGGCUUAAGGACCCGAAUUGUGAUAAUUUUUUGAGCACUCCAACUAAGAUAUUUAGGUUGAGCGAACUCCAUAUAGUAGUCUAUUAGCUCAUGAUCAAUCUUCGGGUCUGGAUGAGGUACUACUGCGAAAGGAAGAAAGCAGUGAAAAACAAACGCCUUCCGGGUGAUUGGCAUAUCGAACUGAGAGUCUCUUGUAUUUUCACAAUCCAAAGACACUACUGGCUCAAGCCAAUGAGUGCUAGGGGAAUCGAUGGCUUCUUUGAUUAGCUUUUCCGGAGUCCAGAGCGGAAAGAGGGUUUUCUUGCUUUCUAGGAGAUCAUGAGCCUCUUUUAAUCUUCUUUCAUUCUCUUCAGCUUCCUUUACAAUCUUGGCAUUGAGAUUGAGUUCCCUUUUCCCUUGCCUUUCGCUUCAGAGCAUCAACUAUUGUCUCCUAUUCCUCGUCACUGUCAUCCACAAUACCCUUGCCUUUAUCCUUAAAGCCCGAACCCAAAGAAUGCUCAGUCUUCUGUUGUCCCGGCUGAGUAGUAGGAGGAGGUUGAGACGAAGAUGUUAGUUCUUCUCCCCCUUGUUUCGGAGGUACCAUAGUCUCUGAAACACCUUCGAUGUGACUCAACAUCCCAAGUGCAUGACGGAAUUUUUCAGCAAGAUGACGUCUAACUGAUAUGGUCAAGAUAGGUUCGUCAGUCUCCAGAACGUUCGAUAAAUUGGCGUGUACGUCUGAGACAUAACUUUUGACGACAACCUUUUCAGAAUGAAGGUGAUCUACCUCUUUGUUUGCCUAGGAAAGUUGGAGAUUUUUGUUUUUCAGCUGAGUAGUCUUGAGAGCGAGUUCAUCCAUGAUCGAGCUUUCCAUGGCUACAUCAGCUUGGAGAUUUGUGAGACGCUCAUUGAGAGGGGACAUAAGGGCAACAUUAUCCUUUUGAAUGUUCUGGCGAAGGGAGGCAAAUUGUUACUUCUCAGUAUCAAAGGAUUCUUCAAGUUUGGCAAUGGAGUUGUUCACUUUAGAAGCGUUCAACUCAACUGCUCCUUGUAAAGACUCAAGAAAAAUAUUAGCGUUAUGAAUUUGUUUAUCAACUUUUUCAGUCGCUUCUGUGUAGACUUUGGGUAAGGCUGCAAUUGCAUCUGUGGCUUUAGAGAUUGAUGCUUCAUGAGCUUUGACAAAAGUGUCAACCAUGCUCUAAAUAGAAGCUUCAGAGUAAGGAUGGUGAGAGGAAGAAGAGGCCAUGAGAUUGUCGAUUUUCUCAUUUAGCUCCUUGAUGUGCUUUUUGGUAAUGGGAGCAUCAUCAUCUUCAUCACUCUGAACCCGGUAGGGACUGUAGUAGAAAAAAUCAAAAUCCAUUUCUUCACCACCAAGGACAGUAUUGGUUUUGCUUGAAGGUGUGAGAGAUAGUGGUUUGGAUGUUUCAGGGACUGAAGACCGAACCCCCGUAUCAGAUACGUUGGUCCGACCUUCAGUUGUUGUGGUGGUUGUAGCAUCAGAAAAAAUAGGAGGAGGAAGUGGAAUUGUAGAAGUAGGUUGUGAUUUGAUAACUGGGAAAGUGGGAGGUAAGGAAAUUGGAAUGGAAACAGGUGGAGGAGAAGGUGCGUUUGAGCGAACUGGUACCUCUAGUGUAGGCGAUCGAGGUGGGGUAUCACCACGAACCGAAACCUCCUCAUCAGAGCUUUCGCUUUCGGAUGUGCUAGGAGUGGGUUGUUUAUGUCCAAUAGGGAGAUACUCGGAGUCUGAGUCGCUCGAUGACUGAAGGAUAAGCUUCCAAGAAGGCUUCUUGGUCUUCUUCUGCUUGGGCUGGGAAGGUGCUGCCUUCUCAGACUUUCGCUUCCUUGGAGUUUGCCCCUUAGCUCCUUUGAUAAACCUUUCGUCUUUCUUCUUUUCUUGUUUCUUUCCCCUGUUUUACGGCUUAUCUGCUUCCUCAAUGGAACGAAUAAUUGCAGGUGUGAGUUCCCUUGGGCCCAAAGAUGGAAGCUUCUUGUACUCUUGUAUGACAUUACUCGCCUUAGACACACAAGCAUACAUGGAUGCUAGAAUCGAUCCAAUAAGCAAGUACUUGGACGGAUCAGUGACUAUAAUAGUUGUAGUGUGGAAUGUUGCGAUGGAGGAGAGAAGCGAUUCCGCCAUGAUUGUGACAUGAAAACAAUCCAUCCCCCGUUUUGUGACAAUAGACUAGAACCUGCCACAUGAAACUUCAGAAUGGCGAGAAGAGGAGGAUAAGCUUUGAACAAGAUGUUGCCAUAGGGCCGAACCAAAUUCAAGAUGUACCCCAUUGUACAACCCAUAAAGCAUGGUCAUAAACGACUUGCUUGCCCCAUCUGAUCCAUCGCUUCGCUCUGAGAAACCAUUGAACAGGAGAGUGAAGAGGCCAUUCCAUAGUGGAGGAAGGCAUGAUUUCGUGAACUUCUCCACGGUUGUUAGGGUUUCUGUAUACCCCAUGUUAUAAAACAUUGAGAAUAGUUGACCAGUUGAGAUGGAAUCAGGGUUUACCAUGGUAGGUUCGUGAGCAAGACCUAGCAGCAUGCAUAAUCGAUUCUUGGAAAUCGAGGUCUUCUUGUUGUGAAUAUCGAAGUGGAUACUCUCAGCGACUUUGUCAUAGUGAGCAGUUGAGUAGAUAUGAGAGAGGCAAGACAUGGGAACAACCUCUACCUGUGAGAGAGCGAUGAUAAGUGGAGAGUAUUUGAAGCAUUCCAUAACUUGCAGCAUGUAGGGUUCAUAGGUGAAUGGUGUAAGGUCAAUUAUGAGGUUUUGGUGAGGCUUGAUGGACAGAAGGGUGGAACGAAUAGAGGUGUCUUGAACAGAAGACGAUUCUGCCAUGGAUGUAGCUUGAGAAGAAGAUGAUGAACAGUGAAAGAAAUUGUCGUUUUCCUUUAGGAGAUUAGAAAGCGGUAAAAGAGUAAAGGUGAUUUAGAGAAACCUUUUGUACUUGGGAUUAGGAGAGAGAAAAAUCCACCCAAAAUCUUGUCUUUUGUGAAACGGUUCCUGAUACAGUGGGGAUUAGACAAUUGGCAACCCAUAUGCUUACACAGGAGAGAGAAAACAUUUCAUUUUACGCGUCGUUCCAUACAAAUCGCCUUUUUCAAAAUCGUCAAACGUUUGGAUAUUUGCUGACUCACCCCUUUACUUUAUUUGAAACGUCACCAACAUAAAUAUCAUGAAUCUAUGUCAACUUGAUCAUUUCGUUUGAGAAUCACCAUGUCACUUUUAGAACCCAAGCUACAUAUUGAAAAAUAGCUUAUACAAAAUAGAACCGGAUUUUUGGAAAAUCAAAGAUUUUCACGCAUAGAGUGUGAAAGAUAAAGAAAUAAAUCAAACUUUUUAUGGGAUAGUGUGAUGUUGAUUAAGACAUAAAGUAGUGGAAACGUUCCGGAGCGGAGGACGUCAUGAAUAUCGCAACCAAUGUACAUAGUAAGCGUAGUGAACACAAAACGUUACAUUACAUAGAAUUAUUACAUUUGUUUGAAAUCAAAGCGUUACAAGUUUUAUACACAUAUAUCAUAAGAACAAAAGAUAAGACGGGUCUUCUAUGUACUCAUCAUGGAAGCCUUUGGAGGUGUUUAAGGGCAAUUUAAGACCAUAAAAAGGUGUUUAUGGUCCAUGAAUGAGGGUUUACGGUCCAAGAAUGUUCUUGGGCCGUAAACUCAUGUCCAUACCUCAAUUUGUGAGAUUUUGGGGUCCUAAGCUCAUGCAUGCAAGUUUCUAAGCCAUAUCUAAGCACUAGGAGUGAUUUGGAUGGGUUUUGGGGCAUCAAAACCCUCUUUAGGAGUGUACACGGUUUUGGAAGGGCUAUUAAACCAUAAACACAUGUUAUUGAGUGUUUUGGGUGAUUCAAACAUAGAUUUGCAUGAUAAGAAAGACUAACAACAAGCUAGGAUAGAUUACUUACCAAAUUAAAGCUUGAAAGGGGUUUUUGGAUCAAACUUGAGUUUUGAGAGAGUGAGAGAGAUAGAGAGUAGUGAGAGAAAGUGUUUUAAGAGAGAGAAAAAGCCUCAAAAUGAUGUCACUAAAUCCCUUAUAUAGGGGUUGAGUUUAUGGCCCAGAGAAAUUCUACUCGAUACCGACGUUAAACAGAGCUUUUGGUCGUACCCGAUUAAUUUGCUGUAACUCAACGUGGUCGUAACUAAUAAUUUUCUAAAUAAUAAUUUGGGAUGUUUUCAUGAGUUAACGUGUUUGGAUACCAAUUAAGUCAUAAUAGAAGUCUCAAAAAUAUUGACUUAAUUUAAAAGCUUAAACGGAAACAAUUCGAAAAAGAUGAAUUUUAUGGACGGAAACGGGUUACGGCGAUGGAGCGAACUUCGGGCUCUCACAUGAUCCCCCCGUUAGAGGGAAUUUCGUCCCGAAAUUCAAACUUUAGAUGCGACUCGCGGAUUUGGAAAGAGAUUACGGAUACUUCUGUUUCAUCGGAAUACGCACUCCCAAGUGAAUUCAGAUCCUCGCAUGACAUUCCAGGGAACCUUUCACUUAUCGGGAUACGGCUUGUUUCACACGUUUAAUCUCUUGAUCUAUGAUUUCGAUUGGUUCUACUAUGAGGUUCAGAAUUUUGUUGAUUUCGGUCUCAUCGAAGGGAUUACGAGGGUUUCGCCGAAUAUGUACUUCUUAAGGAUAGAGACGUGGAAUACCGAAUGGAUGGUGCUACGUUCUGUGGGUAGUCGGAGUUUGUAGGCUACGGAUCGAUCCUAUUGAGGAUUUCAAAAAAUUCUAUGUACCUCGAGAUACGCGUUUCAGAAUCUAACAUGCCUUCUUUCUCACCAUUAGCUAUCUUCAUGGUAAACAUUUCAGUUACUAGUUCAGGACUAUGUUUGUGAAGAUGUUCGAAUGAAUAGCUAACAGAUUAUCUUUUAGUACUAGAAUUGAAAAGGAUUGCAAGCAUAAGGGUUAUCGAAGAGGAAUAUACCUGUGGCAACAGUGGGAUCGGCGGCUGCCUCACCUUGUCCUAUAGCUAGGACUCUUUCAGUGUUGCCAGUUGUUGUUGUCUUGGGGAAGUUUCUCUUAUAAUGCCCGACUUUGCCGCAACCGUUGCAGGCCUGACUGAUACCUGCUUCGGAGACUUGAUUGGUUGGUGUUCUACACCUUCACGCAAGGUGACCCUCUUGGCCAUAAUUUUUGCCAAAUUUCACACGACAGGGACCGGGGAUGUGGUGGUGGUAACUGCAUCGGUUACACCACGGGAGAAUAUCGUCAUAUCCGGUGAUAGGUGCUUGGGUUGAGGAACCGACGAUAGAAACAGCAACAGGGGUAGUGGCAGCGUGGACUGCCACUAUCUGCUGUUUCUUCGAGAACUCUUUUGAAGGCUGACUUUUCUCCUUCGUCUCCCAAUAUUAUCUUUUCUCACCACUUCUCUCUGUCGGCUCAGGAGUGGUGGCUGCUUCCUCUAUGUCCUCAGUAUGGUUGAUCAGGAUUUGCGCUAAGCAUUUGGUGCUGUCGUAUGUAUCCGGCAUCGCAGCUAAAACAUUCCAUUUGGUUGGCUGGGUCAACCCCAAGAUAAACUUCUCAAUCUUCUUACUCUCUAGGGUAACCAUCCCCGGACAAAGAAGCACCAAGUCGUCAAACCUUGAAGUGUAAGCGGCGAUAUCAGAACCCUUCAUCUUCAGGUUCCAGAGUUCAUGCUCCAGCUUCUGAAUUUCACCCCGAGGGCAGUACUCCGCGAACAGAAGUUCCUUCAUGACUUCCCAACCCAUAGCAUUGGCUACAGGUAGGGUUAAGGAUUUGACUCGGUUGUUCCACCAAGUCAGAGCUUUAUCGGUGAACAUGCAGGCGGCGAAUUUCACCUUGUCGGAAUUUGAACAAGCAUAGAUCUCGAAGAUAGAUUCGAUUUUUUCUAACCACCGAGUUAGGGCAAUGACACCUCCUAUGCCAUCGAAGAAUGUGGGGUUCGCGUUCAUAAAGUCCUUAUAGGAACACUCCUUCCGGUGUCCCUGGCUACCUUCUUGAUUUUGGGGCUGGGGACCACCUCCUGGACCACCGGGGUUCANUGCCACUGCGGCAGCAACAGCUGCCUGGAACAAUACGAGAUCAAAUUGGGGGAGGAGGUGGUGGCGGAGGGUUGUUGUUGUUCUUUGAGUUGGGUCUCUCACUUGGAGGCAUCUUGAUCUAAAAAGAUCAAGAAAGAGAGGAUGGUAAGUCCUCUGAAUUCAAUUAAGAGAUAUGGAACUAGGGAUACCUCUUUAUGACAGACAUAUAAUUCUAUUAAGCGAUANNNNNNNNNNNNNNNNNNNNNNNNNNNNNNNNNNNNNNNNNNNNNNNNNNNNNNNNNNNNNNNNNNNNNNNNNNNNNNNNNNNNNNNACGCUGGGAUGAGAAUUUCUAUAACGGAUUUGGCUCGAGAAAUACUCCCAUAGUAUUUCAUGUCUCGCUGCAACGACGGCUCGUUGUUUGGGUAUUGGGUAUGUUUUAGGCAUGUCGUAUACCGCAGUCACUCCCAAGUACAUGUUGGCUGUGUCUCGAAUGAAUAUAGUUGGCCAGGCUAUAUUGAUCGUAGACACGACUACAUAACUGCCUUGGUUUAACCGUAGUGUACAACACGCAUUUACUUAUGUUUUGUUCUACUUGUAGUUACGGAUUUCGACGGUUAGGUAUACUUGUAUACUUAUGGAAAUACUUAUAUUUUAAAGUAUACUUUUAGUUCAGAGCACUUAUUCCCCUUAGUGUUUAUAGUCUUAUACCAUGUAACAUUUGGUAUACUAGUUCACUGUAAACAAGGGCUCUGAUACCAAUCUGUCAUACCUCGAAACCGAAGGCGGAAACGUUCCGGGGCGGAGGACGUCAUGAAUAUUGCAACCAAUGUACAUAGUAAGCGUAGUAAACACAAAGCAUUACAUUACAUAGAAUUAUUACAUUUGUUUGAAAUCAAAGCGUUACAAGUGUUAUACACAUAUAUCAUAAGAACAAAAGAUAAGACGGGUCUUCUAUGUACUCAUGGAAGCUCAUGGAAGCCUUUGGAGGUGUUUAAGGGCAAUUUAACACCUUAAAAAGGUGUUUAUGGUCCAUGAAUGAGGGUUUACGGUCCAAGAAUGUUCUUGGGCCGUAAACUCAUGUCCAUACCUCAAUUGGUGAGAUUUUGGGGUCCUAAGCUCAUGCAUGCAAGUUUCUAAGCCAUAUCUAAGCACUAGGAGUGAUUUGGAAGGGUUUUGGGGCUUCAAAACCCUCUUUAGGAGUGUUCACGGUUUUGGAAGGGUUCUUAAACCAUAAACACAUGUUCUUGAGUGUUUUGGGUGAUUCAAAUAUAGAUUUGCAUGAUAAGAAAGAUUAACAACAAGCUAGGAUAGAUUACUUACCAAAUUGAAGCUUGAAAGGGGGUUUUUGGAUCAAACUCGAGUCUUGAGAGAGAGAGAGAGUAGUGAGAGAAAGUGUUUUAAGAGAGAGAAAAAGCCUCAAAAUGAUGUCACUCAAUCCCUUAUAUAGGGGUUGAGUUUAUGGCCCGGAGAAAUUCUACUCGAUACCGACGUUAAACGGAGCUUUUGGUCGUACCCGAUUAAUUUGUCGUAAGUCAACGUGCUCGUAACUAAUAAUUUUCUAAAUAAUAAUUUGGGAUGUUUUCAUGAGUUUCUAACGUGUUUGGAUACCAAUUAAGUUAUAAUAGAGGUCUCAAAAAUAAUGACUUAAUUUAAAAGCUUAAACGAAAACAAUUCGAAAAAGAUAAAUUUUAUGGACGGAAACGGGUUACGGCGAUGGAGCGAACUUCGGGUUGUCACACCCUUUGAAAUACGAUCAUGUACUUAUUAAGAAGCAAUGAAAGGAAUCUUUUAUAUAUAAGGCUUGUAAAGGUGGCUUUCUCUUCAAUUGAAGUUUCGGUUCUUGAUAUAAGACCGAAAGAGAAUGAAUUACCUGUGAGACCAAUGUGGCCUGUUGAAUAAGUAGGUUACACACACAUUCAGUGACUUGUUGAAAAUCCAAUAAGAAAUAUCAAAAAAAAAAUCUAGAUCCUUGGGGAAAAAGAGUCAUGGGGAUAGACAAUUUCAAAAGGAUCUCUCAAAAUAAAAGGAGAUUUCAUGGUAACUCCACAUAGAGUGGUUUCGUUAAUUCAUUGGUGAAAACCGAAACAUAUUAAUUGUUCACCGUCAAUUCAUUAUGGGUAUAGAAUUUUGGGUUUCACUUAGUACGUAGUAACACGAGACUAAGAUCAUAAACACAGAUGUUGUGUAACCAUAAACCUCAGUGGCAAUUGAUGAGUGUCUUAAGGGUUACGUUAAUGAUAUGAAGUGAGAUGGAGAAAAAUGGUGUAGGUGGUUAAGUAACCAAAUGUACCUCUGCUAUAAAAGUAUGACCAAGUAGAAAACUCUAAGCUUAAUGUGAGAAGAGUAAGUUAGCUCAUGAAUAGAGUGAAUUUAACAUCCUAAUUGGGAAAACAUGAUUUGUAUAUAUCACAUCAUUAAGGCUUCACUCAAAAUCUAUACAGGCUUCGGUCGACAUGAAGCAACAAGCUUCCAGGGACACUUAACUGAUACAUAGAGAAAUUUAUACCUGCUCCAGCUCCAUCAUCGAGAAUAGCUUUUAAACAUGAAAUCAUGAGAAAUAUGAAACAAAAUAUUUUUGUAUUUUAUGUAAAACUUCUAAAGAAAAAGAAAACAAAAAGAAAACUAUUUUUGGAUUUUAUGAAAAUAAAAAAAUGAAAAGAAAAACAUAAAAAUGAGUAUGUAAAAGAGUGUACAAAAGUAUACAACCAAAAUUCCUUUUAAAGAAAAUAAAGUGAACCGAGUUCAGUAGGACCGAACCCAAAAUAGACCGAGUGUUCGGUUCAUUUCAGUUCCCGGGUGAACCGAACCCGAAAUAGACCGAGCGUUCGCUCUAUUUCCCUUUCAACCUUUAAUGAAGCGAAGCCGAUUUCGGUACUGAUGCAGCUUCCAUCAUUCCUAGGCCUUGUAGGAUCUUAUUGAAACUUGGUUUAGGUAAGGCCUUAGUAAAGAUAUCUGCUAAUUGAUCAGUGGUUCUAACUGUUGGGUUUUGAGCAUUCUAACACUCCUAUGUGUACAUGCAACCCUAAAUACCUUAGAUCUAUGUUUUCCCUAUUAUACAUGCAAAUAAGAACUUCCAAGGUAUUAUCCUAAUCUAGCAUACAAAACAACAAAUAUAACAAGAUAGAAUACAUACCUCUUUGAUGUAGAAAGUCUUCAUGAAGCUUGAGUGCCUAGUGCCCCAAGUGUGACACCUCAAAUGGUUCACACAACACCAAAUACAAAUGGAAUAACUUGAGAGAAUUCUACACUUCAUGAAAAUCAGCUAGCCCUUUCUUACUCUCUCUAGUGGCCGAUUUUGUUCAAGAAUAAGAUGCAUAUAUAGUUAGGGUUACACCAUGUAAACCCUAAUUGAGAUGGCCUUUCAUUUCUAUGAUCCAUGGGUACAAAUACACCAUGGAGCAUCAUAUGGGUUUUAUGUUAGUUUUUGAGCAAUCUAACACUUCCUAAGUGUGCAUGCAACCCUAAUAAACCUUGGAUCGAUGUUUGUCUAAAUACAUGAAAAAUAAUAAUUUUCCACGGUUCAUAACCUUUCUAACAUGGUAUGGGGUACUUUUAAACAUAAAAGAGUUAGAAGAGAUUAUAUACCUUUUUGAUGAGUUUGAUUCUUAUGGAGUUUGAGGGCCAAGCACCAAUAAUGUGAAUGCCUCAAAUGGAAUCACAAAUCACCACAAACACUUGGAAAACUCUAGAGAGUGUACACACACUUGCAAUUUUCGGCCACACACAAGCACACACACUAGUGGCUAUUUCAUGCAACAUAAGCAUGCUUAUAUAGUGUACAUGGUUAGGGUGAAACCCUAAUAACCCAUGACCUUUCCUUUUCCAAGGAUCCAUGGGUUAAAAGCUCCAUGGAUCAUCCAUGGACUUCCAUACAAGCCUAGCCCAUUAACAAAUGAGUAUUAGCCCACACUAUAUAAAACCAAUAGCCCACAAUCUAAUUAGUCUUCCUUUUAAUCUCUAAAUUAAUUCAUAAUUAAUUUAAGACNCUAGUGGCCGAUUUUUCCUCAAUAAUAAGAUGCUUAUAUAGUUACACAAUUAGGGUAAACUCUUAAUUGUCAUGGCUUUCCAUUUCCUUGGAUCCAUGGGUACAAAUACACCAUGGAGCAUCCAUGGACCAUCCUAUGGGUUUUAGCCCAACUUGAUUAUCCAUGGAGCAUUAGCCCACUAUACAAGUAUGGAUGAUUUACACAAUCAACCCAUAUAUUUAAUUAGUCUUCUUUUGAUCACUUAAUUAAUCCUAGAUUAAUUCUUGAUCAAUACUAAUUAAAUAAUCUUAUUAUUCUUAUUAUUAAUAUACUAGAACUUAUAAUAUAUUAAUAACCAUAAGUGUCUUAUUUCUCUCAUUAUAGUCUAUCCAAGUGCAUGAUGCCAUGCAACCCAAAUGGACCAUGUCGGGUCGGGUCAAGUCUUACCAAUUAUAGUUAUACACUUAGACAUUAAUCCAACAGUCACCCACUUGGAUUAGUCUAAAACUAUUAUUGCGUAUGACUUCAGGAACCGACUGGCAAUCGUAGCUCUCAAAAGCUUCUGUCGAACUCUGACCUUGUCGAUGAACUCUGACCUUUGUCAAUGACUUGUCCAUUAGAUAAGGGAUCAUAUAUUCCUCCAUUCUAGAUAUCAUAUGGACUGAGACAUGGAUUAUAAUCAUUCUCUCUGUCCAUUUGUUGUUUCCCGAUUUCCGAUUUAUGACGACUGACUAAUUGAACAAAUCAAAUCAGUCCUGGCCCGGCCGAGCACUUCCAUUUGUCAUCAUCAAAUCAUCGAGGGGCCCACAGAUAUCGCUUUUAUCCCGAAGGUAAAAGGAAUGGAUAAACUUCGACUCAUAUGGCUUGUUCUACUACUUGUUGAAUCAUACACAAAGGCACGUUUUAUAGCACCGAGUUACCAAAUGCGUUUUCGUGCAAUCAAUGUACUAUCAACUCAUAGUAACAACUCAUAUCUCUAGGUUUGAAGAAUAUAAGAUAUUAUCGUCUCAUGAUCACUCGUGAUAAAAUCCAUGAAGUGAUUCCAAUGAGCGCGGGUUGAAUCCAAUACUCAGAACUUAUGAGCACUCAUGAGUGUUGUAGCCCUUUGUCCAACACCUUAGACCUCUACAAGCCAACCCAUGACAGUCUUAAUUCAUAUCUACUUCCAACAUAUGACCGACUGUGGAUGGUUUGAAUAACUUAGUCAUUCCGGAAGAAUAACCUAGUUUAUUCGGGAAGUCAAAACAUGCAAAGUGAAACACAAUAAUAAUUGAAUCCAAUAUGGUAUCAAAACUUUGAACAUAAAUAAAACACCUUUUAUUUAUCACCAUAUGAUUACACAUUAUUCAUUGUAUACUGUUUCAGCUAUCAACUUUAUUCUUGAAUUUAAAACAAUAGUUGUCCCAUGCUCCAAGCAUGUACACUAUGUUUUCUUAAACACUAGUCAUGCCACACACCAAGUAUGCAUACUAUGUUUGUCUAUGAUCUUUACUUUGUGAACUAGAUCAAUUGAACAUAACUUCAAUGAUUCUCUUUUCACACUCCCAAAUCCUUACUGCAAAUGCAAGAAUUCCAAAUUCAUGCCAUUUACUGAAAUCUGUUAGAUUCUAAACUUAUAUGCAUUGAUCCUCUUGUAAUGAUUAUGCACAAAGUCAGAAAGACUUGACAACAAUCAUUACAGAGUAUUCCAAAGGAGAUCAGCUCCUUGGAAACAUCCUUCUUGCAUUAAGUUUCCUAAUCUUAAACAGAUUGAAAAUUCUAACUUUGAAACAUUUCCAGAUUCCAUUUUGACUAUCACUUCUGAACAAGAGUUGCCUCCUUACAGAUUAUGUCAAUAUGGUCCUUCCAGAAUUAUCACUAUACUUCCAACUGUCCUUGAGCAACCAAUCUUUGGUAAACCUUAGAUUGUCCUCGACAAUUGUUUAAUCCUUUUAGUCAUAUCCAGUUCUAAACCUUUUCCCUUCUUAAUGCCCCAGGCAUUUGGAAAAUUUUAGAACGGAUGAAUAUAGCACAUGUAAUCGAUCCUAUAUCCGAAGCAUAUGGGACACGAUUCAUGAUGUCUCACAUAAAGACUAAACCAGUCUUUUGCUAUAACAUUUCCAUUUCAAUUUGCCAAGUUCUCAUAAUUCAGAUUAUGAAAAGGGAUGCCGUAAUCAUAAUCGAAUUUUAGAACGCAAAUAAUGGACCCAUAUACAGAAUUUCCUUAUGUUGAGCCAUUCCAACAUGAAAUUCAUAUAUAUCCUUGACUAAAUGAUUAAAACCUCACGAUCUAAGCUUAUAGAUUUGAGAUGAAGUAUAAUUUCCUCUCCCUUAAUUAUAGCAAAACAACUUUUUCCCAAUUGAAACUUUUGUUUUCUAUAAUUAACAUUGCUAACUUGCAAUACUUAUCAUAAUUAUCAUGCUCCCACUAACAUGAUGAUUAUUAGCAUAACACUUAUGCUCCCACUAGCUUUGACAUGUACUCAGAAAUCAGCUGGACUUCUAGAAAUCAAUACUUCAUUGACUUUCUUACCAAAGUUCAGAUUUCUGAUGCUAGAUUGUUUUGAUAAAACUUUAUCAAAAUCAUACACCUUCCCUUAGAUAGCACACUUGUGUGUCUAAACAAUUAUGAAGAGGUAUGCCGUAAUCAUAAUGGUUAGACCUUUUUGCCACUUCUCACAAGUCCAGGUUAGUGUGCCGGUAAACCACACACGCUCCACUAACGACUUUGAGAAUGCAAAUAUCACAAUUGCUAUCUAGCUAAAAUCUACUUAGUGAAAGUGUUUCCUCACCAUCAUUUUCAUGAAUCGGAGAGAAACCUUAUGACACUUAGAUUUAAUGGUGUAUGUGUUCUUAUCCAUGUGAAUUGUCAAAACCAUAGUCACAAGACAAGGAUAAUGACAAAUCCAAACUCAUAUGGACUGAACUCAAUCUUAAUUUCUUGCCACCUGGCAGCUCAAGGGCCUGCCAUUGCUUCCAAGUUGUUGUGCAACAAAUUGAGAACUCUAAGAACUCAUAUGCAAAGCCAACUUUAACUGGAAUGGGCACAGAAUAUGUCAACACGAUAGGUUAUGAACCUCAAGUCGUGUGCUAGUGAAGAACUUCAGGUUUUAUUCUUGAUUAGUUCUUGAGACUUUCAAGACCUUUAAGACUCCCACUGUCCUCUUGACAUAUAAGACUCCCUUGUCAAACAUCCAAGAGAUAGUGCGGAUUCUAAUCAAGAAAAACACUUUACCCAAUUGGCCUAAGUUGGUCUUUGUUUUAUCCAAAACAUCACAACUUACCAAUUUCAAAUGUACAAGAGUAGAAAACUUUUACUCUUACAUUUGACAAGUGUUUUAAACCUUCUUUAAGACAUGUCACUCAAAUGACAAUCUUGGAGUAUGACUCUAAGACUUGUAUUGGAACGAAGUAUGACUCAUCUUCUUGAUUUAACCAUUUCAACAAUUCAAGUUCCUCUUCUUAGUCAUAAGAAUGCACUAAGAUUUCCUUAGAGAACUAAUUUUGAUAUGGUUUCUUAAUCAUUAAGAUGAUCACAAAACUGAUACUAAAGUACUCUCCCAUCUUUUCAGAUUUGAGAAACUUUUAUCCUUCUGCCUAAUUUGAUUCUUCUUAUUCGCCCUGCCAUACAUUGGAACCUUUUCCAAUGUCUCAGAGUUACACUUAAGCUUGUAAGUAUAAUCAUAUUUACUGAGCUUUAGUAAACUAUGACGAAUAGUCUUAUCAAUCUUUUGUGGUGGACUUAAUCAGUGCACAAGAAUGUGUACUCGAUCCCUUAGUCCUUUACUUGACUCACACAUCCAUGUGGCCGAGUAAUUAGUCUUAAUUUUCCAAAACUUGAAAGUUCUCAUUCAUCAUGCUAUACAACUUGCAUGAUUCCAAGUUCCGGUCCAAUUGAAACUUGGGUGAUGAGAAUCUUUCCUUAUUUGGUAAAUCUAGACAUUACCACAAAUGAAAGAAUCAAUUUCAUAUUUCCACUCUUGCUCUUAAUGGAAUCAUAUAAGCAACAAUUUUUCCUCAAAAGCCAUUGUAAGGAUAUUUUAAAAUAAAUAAAAUCAAAAAAUUUUUCUUUUAUUUUAAAACUUUGCGGAAAAACUUAUCCUUACAAUCCAUAUGAAAACUUGUUGUUAUCUAUUCCUAAGCAAUAUCUCAUAACUCCUAAGAAGUUGCUCAAGAAUCCGAUCUUCAAACUAUGCGAUAGAAAUCCAUCUACGCCAUCAGAUUCAGCAUAUUCUUUCUUUAAGUUUCUUCACUUUUCUUUGAUUCUUAAAACAUCACCAUGUGACCCAGUCACAUCAUGUAUCAGGAAUCUCAGAAUAGAAACUUAACAGAGUUAGAUAGUGGACUUUACCUGAAGUAGAGUCAAACUUAUUGACUUUAACAUCCUUAGGUAAAUUUGGCAGCUUCGCAACCAAUGCCCCUUCCUUUGGCAAUAUAAACAUAUGGACCCUUUGAUAAUGGUACACGAGACUAUCACAGACUUAGCUUUUCUCUUUACCAUUUGGUCAACCGAGUUGACUAUGGCCGAUCCCUUUCCAUUGGGAAGAGAAUGCUUUACUGGAUAUCCAAUGUCAUCAUUGUCAAUGUCCAUAAAGUUUUAGGAAGUUGAUCUUAGCAAAUAGAUAAGAUCAUUAAGGGUCUUGUCAUAGUCUGUUUCAUAGGUGUCCCAAAGGAACUCACUAUGUGACUUAGAAAGUGAUUGAACCACCAACUUUCUCAAGACUUUGACACCCAACUCUCCCGGCUUGUCAAUAUGUGACUACAUCUCCAAGAUGUGAUCACACCUAGACCUUGCCUUGCCAAUAGGGCUUGAGUGACCUUAAACUUUUCAAGAACUUGUGGGUUAGGGAGAAUAAUUGGAGGAGGAGAAAGAAGUAUGAUAUCCAUGGGACAUCAUCUUCAUUAGGAAACCUUGUUUCAAGAGAUUUGGGAAGAUCAUAGGUGUCUAAACCAGACAUCUUUUGGGAGAUAUUCAAGAUAGUUGAUUUAAAGUCCUUAAUAUGACACCCAAUAUGAAAUAUUAAGGCUAGGACCCAACAAACUAUUUUAUAACUUAGAAGAGGUAUGCCGUAAUCCAAGCUAUAAAAUAUUUGAAGGUAGGUGAAUGACGAUUCACCAAUUUCCACCAAGAUAAACGAAAUGUAUUAUUAGGUUUUAAUUGGUUUUGAAACUCCUAGAUCUUUGAGAUUCAUUGAACUGUUCAAAGGCAUGUUUCAAUCUCGAGUGUGCCCUUCAGGUUUUGUGACUGGGAUGCCGAGGAUCACAAAACAAGGUGUGAAGUAACCAUGCAAAUCACUUGGUACCCUUAAUAAAUUACCCCUCAAUCGAUGUGCCGGUUAACCACACACGCUCCAUCGAUACUAUGAUAAAUAUUAAGUCACCCUUUACCUACCUUGUUAAGUCCAAGUUAGUGUGCCGGUUAACCACACACGCUCCACUAACGACUUAGACAAAGUGUAAAGUGUAAUUUCAUGGAUUAGCACCUUAUUCACAUUUUUCCUAAGUAACUAAGAUUGGGUAUUAUUAAGAGUUUAGUUACUUAGUAUUAUCAUUAAUACUUUUAAUGAAGGGAGAAUUCUAGUCCUGUCAAACCCGUUCGGCUAACGACCCUCCACCAGUCAAGCAAGCGGUGGGUGAGAGUGGACACCCAUUAAGUUGCCAUUUUAUAGGCAACAACCUUAUACCCACCUUAUAGACCGGCUUCGUGAAUGAGGCGUACUAGCGGUAAGACUGACUUUACUCUUAUACAUAUAUAUAUUAUUAACUUAUAAUAUUAUAAAGUAUAAGGGUUGAAUUUUAACUUUUAAAAUUCUAAGGGCUAACUUGGAAUUAAAGUAUUCAUAAGAGAAAACUUUACAAAUUCCAAAACUUGAGGGCAAGUUUUGAAACUAUUCAAAACUAAUUAAUUCCAUAACUUAUGUGUUUAAAGUAGUUUUAAUCCAAAAACUCUUCAAGUUCCAUAACUUGAGGACAAGUUAUGGAAGACUUUAAACUAAUAAAAGAAUUAACUUUUCUUUAUUUUAUAACUUAUGGAAUUAAUUAAGGUUACAUAUUUUAUUACUUAAUGAAGUGACUCUUGAACCUCCAUAACUUAAGGACAAGACUCUUCAUCUUUUGUAACCAUUGCCAACUUUUAUGAGUUUUAUGAAACUUAAAUGUGACUUUUCAUAUAACUUGAGGACAAGUUACAAAAACACAUUUUAGAAUCAACUUUUAGAUUAAUUUGGAUUGAAAACAACUAUUUCACUCAACUUUUCUAUUAAUCUAAGCAACUCAUAAGAACAAGAUAAUUCAAAUCAAACUUUUUCAUGUAAUUAGUCUAAACCUUAAACUAAUACAAAACAUGAAUCUAUUGACA